rnacentral:lncRNA from 10 species
UCUAUCAAUAUGUACUCCAAUUGGAUAUUAUACUCUUAUUAAAAUAUGUUUAGCAAAGGAAAAGAAUAUGCUGUACCAUUAAUAUUUUAUAUCUUUAAUUGAUAGCAUUCUUAAACUUGCAUCCCCAGGGUAAGUGUUCAUCAAGAGAAUGAGAUGACAAGCAGUAGACUGGGAGAAAUAUUUACAAAAGACACAUCAGAAAAAUGACUGUUAUCUAAAAUAUACAAAGAACUCUUAAAAAUUAAUAAUAAAAACACAAACAACCCAAUUUAAAAAUGGGCCAAAAACUUUAAUAGACAUGUCACCAAAAAAAAUAUACAAAUGGCAAAUAAGAAGAUAAGAAUGUUCCACACUGUAUGUCUUCAGGGAAAUUAAAACAACAAUAAGACCCUACUACACACCUAUUAGAAUGGCCAACAUCCAAAACACAGACAACACCAAAUGCUGGCAAGGAUGUGGAGCAACAGAAAGUCUCAUUCAUUGCUGGUGGGAAUACAAAAUGGUACAGCCAUUGUGGCAAACAGUUUGGUGAUUUCUUGCAAAAUUAAAUAUGUUCUUACUAUAUGAUUCGGCAAUUGCACUUCUUGGUAUUUACCAAAAGGAGUUGAAAACAUGCCUGCACAAAAACCUGCACGUGAAUGUUUAUGAAACAUUUAUAAUUGCUAAAAUUUGGAGGCUUAAAACAACAACCAUUAUAAUUUCUCAUGCUGUCAUAUCUCUAUGGGUCCGCUGGGCACUCCUGCAGGGACCCAGCUCAUACAUGCAUCCGUGGUCAGCUGGAAGACUGGCUGUAGCAAAGUCAGUCUAGGAAAGGCUUGCCUGGGAAGACAGCACUGCUCCUUAUGAUGCUCAUCUUUCUAGAAGAAAAUUCUGGACUUACGGUAGUGUCUGGGUUCCAAGAUCAAGAAUGGAAACAUAAAAGGAACUGGCUUACUGUCACUUCAACCACAUUCUGUUACCCAAGAUAAGUCACAAGACAAGUACAGAUCCAAGAAUGAGAAAAUAUACUCUACUUCUUGAUGUGAGGAGCUACAGAGUUAUAUUACAAAAAGUGUGAAUACCAGAAGGCAGUAGAAUUGUCAUAAAUUUACCACAAACAUAAAUAUUAUCCUGGAGUAGGUGUCUAGGAACAUCGUAAGUAACCAAAUAUGAUGAGUCCUUAGUGUCCCAAAUGUACAACAUGCAUUUUCUUACACAUCUAAAAGGAUUAGAAACUCAGUAACAAGUCAACUUUCACCUAAAUCACCCAAAGAUACAAUUUUAUCACUCAGUAGAAUGAUAUAUCCAUUUUCAGAAACUAAAGCUACUGUCUGUCAUCCAGAACUCUCCUUUCCUGCCACUGAACUGUCUGGGAACCCAAAUCAGACAGUUGUAAAUAAGCAGAAUAUUAGAACCAAAAGUGAUUAGUCUCAGGUGAGAUUGUUUUCUGACCAUACUGAAGCCUGAUGAAAUACUCUACCCCACUGCUUGUCUUGUGAUAAGAAUGCCGUGUCUCACUCUCUUUCUCUCACUCCCUUUAUGCCCCAAAAGAUAUAAUUACACUAAGGAUCUUCAGAUGACGACGUCAUCCUGGAUUAUCUGGUCCUAAAUUCAGCUACAGUAAUCCUUAUAAGAAUAAGGCACUCCAGCCUGGGCGACAGAGCGAGACUGUCUCAGAAAAAAAAAAGAAUAAGGAAGAAGGAGAUUAGACACAGAGAAGAGAAGGAGACAACGUGACUAUGAAGGUGGAGAUUGGUGUGAUGCUUUCAGAAGUCAAGAAAUCAAGAAACACAACAGCCACCAGAAGCUGGAAAGAUAAAAGCAGAUCUUCCCCCAGAGCCUUCAGAAGAAACAUGGCCUUGGCAACCCCUUAAUUUUGGACUUCUGGACAACAGAACUGUGAGAGAAUAAUUUCUUGUUGUUUUAAGCCACCCAGUGUGUGGUAAUUUGUUACAACCAUCUCAGGAAACCCAGGAAACAGAGUAUAAAAUAAUUUCUUUUUUAAAAUAGUGGCUAAAGAUUUGGGCCCACAAAAUUUAUCAGAGCAUCACUGCAACCCUGGCCUGAGAAGGUAUCUUAAAAGCUAAGUAUCUAAUAAGAAAGCACCUUUUAACUUUAAUUAUUCCACCCAUUUGAAUAGAAUCCAGACAGUUUUGUUUCAUAUCACAUGCUAUUCCAUAUAUGGAAAAAUUCCCCUUAUGUAUUAAAUGAAAAGAAAGCAAGCCAAAACCAGUGUCUACUUUACAAACCCAAUUUUUAAAAAUAUAUAAUUAUAUUUAAGUAUGUAUGUAUAAAAGAGAGCAUACAACAGUUUGAUGAUUAAAAUAUUCACAAUUGUUUUAUUUUUCAUUAUCAUUUACAAAAACUCCAAAAUUAAAAGCAAUAAUAAUACUUAGCAGUAACAAUUUGAAAUUUUGUUCCAUCAUAACUUGUCUUUCAAUGUAACAAUACAUGAAUUCUGAUGCAGCCUAAGGUGUAAAUAUUGUUUUAUUUCCUUGAUAAUUCAAAAACUGUUGCAGAUCUUGAGUGCUAUAGAUUGUUCAUUCUCAAUAACAUGAUGUUUCCAUAUAUAAAGCUAAAGAAGUAGAUAUAAAGCUCAUAUUUAUUAGACAACUGCAAAUUAUGCCCUCUAUCUCAAAGUAGGAAAACUUGACCAAAUAUUUAGGGCUAAUAUUUAAGUUAUUCCAAAUGCCAAGCUAGAAGUUGAUAAAACUAUGCAUUUAUCAAUUUCCUUGUUACAGAUCUGGCAAAUUAAUUACAUGCCUCAUCUAUUGUGUAUGAAGUAAUACUCUUGUAUUUUUUCUUAAUGUGAUGAAAUAUAUACAUACAUAAAUUCAUCUGACAAAUAUAUAUAUCUCAUCAGCUGAAGAAAAAUAUAUACAUGUAAAUAUAUAUACACACACAGACACAUAUAUACACAUACACACACAUGAUACAGAUAUAUCAUGUGAGAAGGGCUAAAGCAUCAACUUAUAGAUGGCAGUUCAUAAAUAUCCCUUUUCCAAUAUGUGUCCUUCAUUCUCAAUAGCCAAAUAUAUAAGAUCAUUCUGCUAAAAUACAGUUUCUAUUAAAGAUAUCAGCCCAUUUAAUUAAAAGUAUUUCUGAUAUAUAAAGCAAAAGUUCUCCCCCCAACAAGUGUCUAAAAUUUUGGGUGUAGAUGCAAACAGCAGAAAGAUUUUGCUGUCUCAAUAAUAUACCUUAGCCCAUUUUUCUUCUUUUGAAUCAAUGCCUAGCAUGUUUAUAGACUCAUCUUGGUGCCAUAGGCUGAGCACUUUUAUACUUUUAUACUCAAGCAUGGUUCUAGCUCUCUAUUAAAAAAUACAGCUAUGUCUUGUAAUAAAUAUGGCACUAAUUUUAAUCUAUCCUAAACAAAAAUAUAUGCAAACUUUACCUCUCUUUGGAUAAUGUUCAGUCCAUUGCAACAGUAAGAAAAUAUAUUGUUUAUCAAGUAUUGGUAAGCAUAUAAAACAAUAGGAACACUUAAGCAACCUAAUUAAUGUGGGAAUUAGUGUUUAAAAAACAAUUUGGGGAACAAUUUGGCAUUACACAGUAAAGGUGAACAUGCGUAUACCUAGCAACCCAGAAAUUCUGCUUCUGGCUACAGAAAGCCACAAACCCUGGAAAAACCAUCACAUGUGCCCCAGGGACGUGUACAGGAAUGUUCCUAGUGGUCAUAGCUGCGUUGUUGUGAAACUAGAAUCCUAGAAACAGCUCAAAUGUUCAGCAUCUGUAAAAUGAACAAAUAAAGUGUGUUAUAUUCAUUCGGUGAAAUGUAUACAAUAGAAUUUUAACAAGCUAUUCAAUGGAACUUUAUAUACUCAUAUAAUGGCUUCAGUAAAAUGAAUUAAAUCAAACUACAUGUCAGCAUAGAUAAAUCUCAGAAGCAUCAUGUUGAGUGAAAAAAAAAGCAAAUUGCAAAGUACGUAUUAUAUUUCCAUUCUUCUGAAGGUCAGAAAUCACACCUCAACAACAUAUUGUCUAUGGCUGCCUACCUUUCUGGUGAACUGAUAAAGAAAAGCAAAUAAAUGAAUACACAAAAUUCUACACAAUAGUUACUCAGAAGGGGAGAGAACGAUUGAAGAAGCCUAUGGAGGGUUUCAAAAGUACUGGGUGGUGUGUAUAUUGGUGUUAAUUGUAUAGUGGUAUUCUCAAAACUAUAUGUUAUAUACACUUUAUGCUGAGCAGCGGUCCCCAGCCUUUUUGGCACGAGGGACUGAUUUCGUGGAAGACAAUUUUUUGCACAGACGGACAAGGUGGAGGGGAGUAGGAUGGCGGGGAGUGGUUUCAGGAUGAAACUGUUCAACUUGAAAGCAUCAGGCUUUAGUUAGAUUCUCAUAAGAAGCACACAACCUAGAUUCCUCCCAUGAGGGAUCCUAGAUCCCCAGUUCCUAACAGACCAUGGACCAAUACCAGUCUGUGGCCCAGGGAUAGGGAACACCUGAUACAGUGAGUGUGUUUUGCAGUGACAAAAAUUUGAAAAGUAAACAUUGUUCUAUCUGAUAUUGCUUUGAAUAAUCUAAGAAGGGAAAGAUAAGAAAUGUAGCUUUUCUCUGGCUUGCUAGGAAUUAACACUAUUCAUAGGAGUAGAAGUUGUAAAAAUACCUCAUGAAUUUAACAUAAAUUCUCAAUUCACCUUUUUUUGAAAGGUCUUUGAAUAUCAGAAAUUGGUCACAUUUUCAUGCUAAAUAUCCUCCCCUGGCUGAGUCCCCUGAAGUCUUUCCCUUAUUUCCAAGAUCCCCAAGCCCCAGAGGCAGCUGCUUGAGUUGUAGCUUAACCUAUAUUUAGUAAUAAUGGUGUGGACUUUUAUUUUAAACAAUGUUUCUUUCAGUCUAAAACAACCCAACUGCAAUCAAAAUUGGCUUAUAAUUAUAUGAGGAAAAUGUGAUAUGGCAUUACUUUCAUAGUUCUUGUGGGUUUAUUAAAUAAUAAAUAUCAUACUUUAUGUCUGUUGUUGUGAUUCUGCCUUCCGAAGUCUUUUUACCAUCAGGAAAUGACUUCCCCAGAGAGCAUAUCUAAUUCAUACUUUUCUGUGUAUUUUUUACCACUCUUGAAAUCCUAAGAAUGUAUAUUAAAGGUGCCCUUUUUCUAAAAGCCAUGAUCUUCAUAGAGUUCAUAUAUAAUAUAGAUGUGAUCGAUUUUAUGAAUUUAUAAACACUUUAUAGACUUAACUGUUAGAAUUUUGAGUUUCAUGUUAGAAGUUCUAAAAGCCAUAAUUUUAAAAACUUUUACACAAGAUCAGUCUUUCUGUCGCAUUAAAAAGUUAUAGUAAAUAAAGAUAAAAAUGCAGAAAUAGCUUUUUCCUCUCUGGGUUGAUAUUAAGACAUUAUUGUUUCUCUCAAGAUUAUUUUAGUGUCUUAAUUAUAGUAAAUUAGAAUAAUUAGAGAGAAAUUAUGUGAACCCUACCAUUCCCCCAAAGCCUUUAUCCUGCCUUUUAGUCAGAUAAUGAAUGUUAAUAUAAAUAAUUGAUACAUUCUGAGUGCUUCCAAGUCUUCACACCUGACAUUUUUCUUUUAAAUUUUACUCCUGAUAGAAGGUGAAUCAUGUCAGGCAUUAUUUCUUUGGUCUAAAGAGUACUAAUUAAGCUUGUGGUGAACAUUCUUGCAAAUAAAACAAAGCAAUUCCAUUAUAAUAGAAAGGCAUAUGCAUUUAUUUUUAUUUUUAUAAUCUUCAUGGACUCAGAUACAUGCAAGUUCUGUUCAACAAAUAUAGCCAAAGAAUUUUUUUUUCUGUUUGUUUUCAUGAACAUAUUGUUUAAUGCUUUUUUAUAAAAUGUGUUCGGUUACACUUUAGACAUGAAGGUGUAGUCAGAUAAAACAAUUUGAAACAGAUUCCAGUGGGCAAAAUAUUACAUGCGGACUGAAUAUUAAUAUUUAACACUUCCAAGGACAUGAGGAGUGCAUACCGGUGCCAGGGUCUGUGCUGGGCACUGGCAGUUCAGCGGCGUUUUGUACAUAUAUCACCAUUGCCACUGUGAAGUUUGUAAGAAGUCACAAUGUGAUGCACCUUACCAAAAGGGAAAUAUGAUGCUAUAGUAGGACGUGACAAAGGGACUGCUCUGGUCUGAAAAGCCCAAGGAGACCUUGCUGGGGAAGCUAUAACUCAGGGAGGGACCGAUAGAGACACAAGCUGAGGCUGUAGAAGAGACUUCCUCACGGAGGAAACAACAUGGGCAAGCCUGUGGCGUAGACAGGUCAUGUUUGGCUCCAGGGAUGAAGAGAGCUCCAGGGUGGCUGGAAUAUAGAGUGAGGUGUGUGUAGGAGUGAGAUUAGUCUGAAGAGGAAGCCAGGGGCCAGCAGGUACCUUUUAGGGGAAAAAAAAAUGUUCAUUCUUGAGGGAAUUCAAAAUUCUAAUGAAAGCAAACUUGAAGCACAUUUCUGCACCUAGCACACUUAGCUUUGGGGGGAAAAAAACAUUGGCAAAUAUCUUUCACAUGAUAACUUACCCACCAGUAGCACCCAUCUUCUCUCCACAUGCACAUCCCAAGGUAGUAACAUAAGUGUUCAAAUGUGAGUUUGCUAAUGUAUGUGGCCAUUGGCACUGGAAAUUUGCAUCAGCUGGAUAAUCCUCAGUUUCCUAAUCUGUAAAUCUGAUGUGAAUGUAUCUACCUCAGAGAGUUGUUGGAAAAAUUGAAUGAGGUGAUUAAUGCAAAGGCCCCAGUCCAUGGUGGAUGACUGGCACAGAGUAUAUUAUGCCCUCAAUCAAUUAUUCUUCCUCUUAGCCUCCCUCACACUCUCUCAUGGAUGUGCAAGAUGCCAGAAGUGUGUCGUGUGAGGCCAUGGUCACUUACCUCUGAUCUAGUCAGACACUAGCCCGGAGCAAACAACCAGCCCUUUCUACUGUCCUUGUCUCUUCUUAAAGCAUUUAAAGCAUUGGAUGGUUCAUGCUAUUGGCAUGAGAAGAUAUCAUUUUCUUCCAUCCAGCAAUUGAAUCCACAUCCCACAUCUGUUAUCAGCAAAGAAAAAUGUAGUAAAAAUACAAAGUAAAUAAUUCAGCUUCUUCUUUUGGUUCUGAUUUUGAUUGCAUAAUUAGAAUGACCACAUAAUUUGUCAUUCAAGUAAGGACACUUUUGAGAGUAAAAAGGGAACACUAUAAAUAAUUAUUCCAAGACAAUAAGGGAAAACUUAAAUAUAUGGUCCUGCUCAUUAUAAUACACAUCACAGAUAUAAAAAAGAAAUGAUUGUAAGACACACCUGUACCAAUCAAUUGUGGCCAAGAGAGGAGAGAAGUGAGUAUUAAAAUGCCAGUGAGUUAAUGCUUUCCAAAUUUUCCUGUAGCUAUCAUUAAUAAUUAGAAAAAAGUUAAAGAAUAUCAUAGGUAUGUAAAUCUAAAACUAAUUUAUACUAUGGUCUUAUAUUUUUAUUAGUCUGAUCUAAAAGAAUACAUUUUACCUUACAACUUCAAAUUGAUAUUAGUAACAACUGUAAGUUCUGUGAGUUGUUAGGUCCUACUAACAGAUGUUAGUGAAUGUUGUUGUGAUUGCUGCCCUUUUAACAGUAUUUUUUUUUAAAGAAUGCUGGUAUCAUAUUCAUCUGUAGGAUAUUUAUUUCUAUAAAAUAUAUAAUGAAUUUUGGCAUUCCAUGCUCUUUUUAAAUGACGGUGUUAAAUGCCAGUUUCUUCAUUCAACAAAUGUUUAUUGGGCAAUAUCAGGAGAACUGUGUUAAGUGUUGAAUGAGCAAAACACUCAAGACUAUGCCCUCAGUAAAACUCUGACUUCUUGUGGCACACAGAGAAGUGGCUGAUUUAUUGCAGUGCAGUUUGAUAACAACUGUGAUGGUGAAGUAUGAGAGCUCUGAGAAUGUAUUUGCAGAGUGUCCCUAAGGAGCCACACCAUCAUCAGGGCAAUAUGAUAACUAUCCUCUGACUAAAAACAUGAGUAAGAUUUAGCUUUGCAAAAUGGAGUGGACAAAAAUGAUGCUGCGAGCAGAUGGGGUAGCAUGUCCACAGGUGUAGAGAGGGCACGGGAUGCUACAGGAUCCAAUAAGGGAAGAAAGCAUCAGGUUCUGGAGGAUGCUGGGAUUAGGUGCUGUUUUUCAUCUGGAAGAAGGAGGACCCUGAGCCCUCCAGCUUCUGGUCCAGAUACCCUGAUGUCAGCAUUCCAAAGUUUGGGAAGACAAUCCUAUUCUUUGUGUUGUGGCUCUAAAACUCUACAAUAAAAAUGGCACAUUUUAAAGGAAAUGGAGAAACGUUACCUAAAGUAUUAGGGAAAUUUUUUAAAGGUAUAAUUAAAACAUCAAUCAAAGACAAAUUGGAAAGCAUCUGGAGAGAAACUGUCUGAUUUAAUUGGUAAUGUUCAGGUUGAAUUAAUUAAUGAAAACAGAGCUUGUCUAAAAGCCUAGAACUGUAUGACUGUGAGAAGUGUUUACCUUCUAAAUAUUUUGUCUGCUAUAAAACAAUGUUUUUAAGGCAUAAUGCUUUGCUAUAUGUCUGAAUAAACAAAGGUUAAUUUGUUCCCUAUACACAUUGUAUUUAACAGAAUAAAUGUAAUACUAAAAUACGAAAAACUUCUUCUGUAAUUAUCCUUGUCUCUCACAAGAAUUCAAGUAGAUUCUCAUGGAUAAACAGCAUUGACUAAAUUUCACAAGAUAAUUGGCAUGGGAUAGGCCCAAACUAGUCAGUAUCUCCUGG